CUUCCCAAACUAAUCGCCUUCUUCGACGUCCGGCGUCCGAUUCUUCCGCCUCGAUAUUCUUCCUCCACGUCCGAUUUUCUUGCGCCCAGUUUAUCUUCCUGCCCAAUAUUCUUCCAACAACCGGUGAGUUCUCAACCCCUUCCAAUAUUCUUCCGCCCAGAUUUACCGUCGCCCACAUCCGAUUUCUCUUCUGCCCGCGGUCGGACGAACUUCCAUCGAUCGUACGUCUUUCGUUGACCGUGUGUCUUCCGCCGAUGGUUCAACGUCGGCCAACUAUUCCGCCUCCGCCCACGCUUCGACGUCCGCCCAAUCUUCUGCCAACAACUGGUUUGAACCAGAUAUGCUAGCAUUCUCAGAUUGCUAUUAUGGUGGAGGUAAAAAAGAAAGAAGAGAACUUAGAGCUAUUCGAAGGCGAUGGAAAACAUUACAUGUUUUGCCAGAAUCCAUUGGAGCAGUGAAGUCAUAUUUGCGUCAAUUCAUUGAUGUACAGGCAUUUUUGUAGGUUUGGUAGGAAAAUUUCUGGUUUAAAUGUAGUUAUUAAAUAGCUUGUUCGUAACAAACCAUAUAUGUACCAACACUUAAAGUGAUAUUAUAAAGUGUAUGUUUCAUUGUAUUAAAGCGUCCACCGUUUCUUUCCAUAUGUGAUUGUAUUGGUCUGUGUAAUGGCAGGGCAAAGUGAAAAAUAGGAUUCAAUAAAAAAU